UUGUGUCUUAUUUUCAUGUAACCCUUUCUGAGGAAAGCAAUAAUUUACACUUUCUUUUUUGAAAGGAAGUUAGCUACAUACAAACCCAAAGGAACCAAGCAGCUUAUCCAAACAGAGUCUGCUUUCAUUACAACAACUCCUGUGCCCCUUCUUUUAAUGUCAUCAGCUGAGAGUGGCGAGGUGCAGGUGAGUGCAGAUCUCAUCAGCAGAGGUGACGAUGAUGAAGUCCCAGGACCUCAAAAGAGCUCCAGCAUGGACAGAACAGGAGGCCAUAAUAGGGACGCACAGCAAUGCCAUGUGAAAAUUAAGGACCUAAGGCAAGCCUACUAAAAAAAACAGAGAGGCAAAUGGCCGUUCCGGAUCAGAGCCCCGAACAUGUCGCUUCUGUGAUGAGCUGCAUGCCGUGCUAGGGGGCACAGCCACAACUACCCCAACCCUGUGCUUUGACUCCAUCAAUGGAGAAUCACGCAACACAGAAGUGGG